CUGUUCCUGGGCUCAGUGGGUAGAGCUUAGGACUUAUGUCCGUAAGGUACCAGGUUCGAAUCUUUCUGUGUAAA
rnacentral:tRNA from 1 species